GAAUGUGUUAAAAUUAUGAAACGUAUACGACUAUAAAAAAAUUAAACUAAAAAAUUCUUUCGAAUAUCAAAAUAAAUAGAAAUAGAUCCGCACAUCAAGAAGAUGUAUUGUAAAAAUUUUAAAUAAUAUUUUACUAUCAUUUUUUUUUUAAUUUCACAUUUUUGUUAUAAUUUUUUGAUUAAUAAUUACAUGAAAUUUUGGGUAUAAAAAUGGGGAAGAAACCCUAAUUUUACCCAAACUACUUGAUCUUAUCUGAGCAAGAGAAGUUAGCAUACGAGAGCUCCCCAAUAAAACCCUAACCAUCGACUUUUCCCUCUCUUCUCCGGCGGGACUGAGCUCGAGCCACCCUCCUUCCGGGGUUGAUGGCGGCUCUCUCAUUCCCCCAAAGAAGCUCUAGGUUUUUGUUCUUUGGUUAGUUCGUUUUGGAACUCUAAUGGCUGCUCUCUUAUCUUGCAGUGAAGACUGCCCGCGGUCAGAGCCUAGUAAUAUUACAGGGCAGUGAUGGUCCAAGCGGGCUCAUCAAAUUCUCAAUCUUUUGAUUUAUCCUGUCGUUUUUGUUUUUUGAUUUAUGCAUUGUAGGUGUUUGAUGAUAUGUCUAUUACUCUAUUUGUUAAUUUAUGAGAGACUAUUUGUAUGAUUCGUCUCUCUUUCUCACUCUUCAAAGUGGAAUCUUUAGUUAGUAUUAUUCAUUCUAUUCUGUUUAUGAUAUAACUGUGUAUUGAUCUUUGAAAGAGUAAUCUUUGGUAUUUGCUGAAACAUUCAUAAUUAUACUUGAUUUCCUUUUCAUUGUAUUGGUUGCAUCUAGGUAAGGGAUAUGGCAUGAGAAGAUGGUUAGAUUUUUUUUUUUGUUUUAUUAAUUUUUGGACACAAAGUUCUAAUGGGGAUUGGAUAAAAGUCAUUUGAUAGUAUUACACUACACUUGUGUGAAUCUUUGCUAGUCAUUUCUCACAAUUAUGAGUAUUUGUAUGCUUUUGUUGAGGUUGGUUUCUCUUUCACUCUUCAAAGUAGAAUCUUUAGUCAGUGUUAUUUAUUCUAUUGUGUUUAUGAUUUUAACUGUUAUUCAAUUUUAGUUAGAUUUCUUUAUUGUUAUAUUGAAAUGUUUGGUAUUUUUAUUAAUGAUUAUGCUUCAUUCUUUUUCAUUGUAUUGGUUACUUCUUAUUAAGGGUUUUAUUAAGGUUUAUUAUGAAGAUUUUUAUGUUUAUUUAUCUGGUUUUGUAUUACAAGUGAACUUUUUUUUUGGACACAAUGCUCUACUGUGGAUUAGGUAAAAGUCAUUUGAUAGUAUUAGUCUGUACUUGUAUAUGUGAAGCUUUAUAGUCAUUUCUCACAUUUAUGAGAGUUUUAAUGCUGUGUCAGUGUUAUUUGUUCUAUUCUUUUAAUAAUUUAAUGUGAUUCAAUUUGAGUUUGAUUUUUUUAUUGGUAUAUCUUUGGUAUUUUUAUGUUGAUUUUUGAGAAAGAGUAAUCAUUGGUAUUUGCUGAGACAUUCGUAAUUAUGCUUUAUUUCUUUUCUUUACAUUAGUUGCAUCUAAGUAAGAGCUAUUAAGGUUUAUUAUGGGAAUUUUUACGAUUAUUUAUCUGGUUUUGUAUUCAAAAAGUGACAAUUUUUUUUUUGGACUCAAAGUUCUAAUGGGGAUUAGAUGAAAGUCAUUUGAUAGUAUUAAUUACUUGGUAGAGUAGCUACUUGCUAUUAUUAACUGUCUUCUAAUGUAUAAUACUAUUUCAAGAAUGUUAAAGAAAUUAGUUUCAACACUUCAUCUUAAUGUAUGAUAUUUUGACACUAGCUAUGCUUUGAAUUGAAAUAAGAGUGUAAAUGAAUGUUCUUUUAGUAUCAUACUCUUUUUGUUUUGUUUCUUAAUUUUUAUUACUUCACCUCAUUGAGUUUUGCUUUGGGUCACAAAUGAAAUCUAAAUUCAUUUGUAACUUUUUAAUUGAAUUAUGUUGUUUAAGGACGAGCAGCAACACGAGUUAUGUGGUUUUUUUAAAUUGGUUGGCAGCUUGAAAAAGUCAUCAAAGGUAGCUUUUGCAGGAUGUCUAUCAAUUAGAAAGAACAAUAACAAUCCUUCAAGCAGGUUGUUCAACAUUUUUCUUUCAUUUGGUCAGUCUGUUUUUUCUGCCCGCCGACCAUUUGAGAAGGCCUCAUGACCCGUCUUGUUGUUCGUCCUUGAGCAACAGUUAUUUUCAUCCUAUUAUGUGGUUUUUUAAAUUGUUCACGUAGGUAUAUGUAAUCAAUUUUUGACACGAACUCUUAUGAAAGAUUCAUUGUCUUGUGAUGGACUCAUCAUGUAACACUUAUUAAAUUCAUACAAUAAUAUCAUUGGAAUUCUAAACAGAUGUUUUAUACUGUUUAUAUUGUUUUCUAUUAAAUUCUAGUUAUGCAAUAAUAUUUGUGUUACUAUUUGGGCUCUCUCCACUCCUUCCUCACUCUCUAACUUGUUUGUUUAUUGCCCUCGUAAUGUGAUUGAAGACAGUUGUUCUCUUUCCAUUGUGCUAUUGAGUUUCAAUAGAAAUAAUACUUGUUUUUAUUAUAAAACAAACCCUCUAUUACAUGAUUGACUGUGCUCUUGGAAUGGUUAGAAGUGGCUAUGCAUAGAAAUAUUUGCUGUGAUGCAGAUGCAGCUAGAGGAAAGAAAGUACAUGAUUGGACAGUGAAACCUUGUGGAUCAGAAAUAUUUAGUUGAUAUAGGUGCAUACAAGUAUUGCUCCAUAUAUGGUGUCUUCUCUUAAGUUGUGGCUAAUUUGUCUAUUACAUCAGUCAAUGGUAGUGUGGUUCGUAAGAAGAUUUGGCAUCAUGAGACCUCGGUUUUCUGCUCGAUGAAACGGGGUUAUUGGCUUGCAAUGGUGCCUUCUUGUCGGUUUGUUAGAUUGGAUUCUGGCUUUUGUGAAAUCUUAAGUGGCAUGGUAUGGCAUUGUAUCAUGCUGAAGGACAUUAGAAAGGCAGUGAGUGAUCACUUCUUGGUUUCUACUUUCUAUUAGUAGCCACUGGUUUGGACUUGAAUCAAUUGUUCAUUGUCUUGUGGCGGAAUUCGGUAUGGAUUCUGACGGGGUGCAACGGGUUUGGUUGGCUUUCUCAACUGUUUCGCCUGUUGUGGAUGGCUGAAGUUAUUACGAUUCUCAAAGAGCUUCAACUAUGCCAUAGGAUAGGGCACUUGAGUCUUAUUGUUGAAUAUGAUUUUCUGUUUGUUAAAACUGUUAAUGCUAAUUGUUAGAGAUGCCCUUCUUAUUUGUACUGAAUUUUUUGAUAUUACUUUUUCUCUAUUGCUUGGUUUUUUAUAAUUUUAUUAAAGUAAAAUGUAAGAUUUGAUAUUCAAUUGCACUAAUAGCAAUGACAUUUCCUU